rnacentral:rRNA from 1 species
AUACGUAGGUGGCGAGCGUUGUCCGGAUUUACUGGGCGUAAAGGGAGCGUAGGCGGAUUUUUAAGUGAGAUGUGAAAUACCCGGGCUUAACCUGGGUGCUGCAUUCCAAACUGGAUAUCUAGAGUGCAGGAGAGGAAAGUAGAAUUCCUAGUGUAGCGGUGAAAUGCGUAGAGAUUAGGAAGAACACCAGUGGCGAAGGCGCUUCUCUGGACUGUAACUGACGCUGAGGCUCGAAAGCGUGGGGAGC